AACUGUGAUACUAACACUGAGUUUCAACUCUUAUGUGUUGUCAUGUAAUCUUUAUAAAUAAUUGCAAAACAUUGUCAAUUAUUAGUUCUUUUGGAAGGCAUUUAUAUGCUGAUAUGUGUAGCACAGUAGCAGUUCAUAGUUUGUCCUUCAUUUUCCUCUACUUUUUUUCUAAUUUUAGGAAUUUGAGUAAGGAAAUAACUUCCUUGUUAUUAUGCUAAAAGUUUAUCUUGAAAUUUCGUAGUCAGUGUGUCAUGGAUUUAAUGCAGUACUGAUCCCGAAUUAGUGAAAUCUAGUGGGAGAUCAGCGUGCGACAAGAUUGCAGGAAAAAAAAAAGAUAAACCAGAUUUGAAAAA